rnacentral:rRNA from 1 species
UACGUAGGGUGCAAGCGUUUGUCCGGAAUUAUUGGGCGUAAAGAGCGUGUAGGCGGCUCGAUUAGUCCGCUGUGAAAGUCCAGGGCUCAACCCUGGAAUGCCGGUGGAUACUGUCGAGCUAGAGUCCGGAGGGGGCGAGUGGAAUUCCUGGUGUAGCGGUGAAAUGCGCAGAUAUCAGGAGGAACACCAAUGGCGAAGGCAGCUCGCUGGGACGUGACUGACACUGAGGCGCGAAAGCGUGGGGAGCGAACAGG